rnacentral:rRNA from 1 species
UACGAAGGGGGCUAGCGUUGUCCGGAAUUAUUGGGCGUAAAGAGCUCGUAGGCGGCUUGUCACGUCGGGUGUGAAAGCCCGGGGCUUAACCCCGGGUCUGCAUUCGAUACGGGCUAGCUAGAGUGUGGUAGGGGAGAUCGGAAUUCCUGGUGUAGCGGUGAAAUGCGCAGAUAUCAGGAAGAACACCCGGUGGCGAAGGCGGACUC